rnacentral:rRNA from 1 species
GACGAACGCUGGCGGCGUGCUUAACACAUGCAAGUCGAACGGAAAGGCCUGCUUUCCCUUGUGGAUUGCGGGUACUCGAGUGGCGAACGGGUGAGUAACACGUGAGUGAUCUGCCCCCAACUUGGGUAUAAGCCUGGGAAACUGGGUCUAAUUCCCGAUAGGACUGCAGGGUGGUGCCUGUGGUGGAAAACGAUUUUCUAGUGGUUGGGGAUGAGCUCGCGGCCUAUCAGCUUGUUGGUGGGGUAAUGGCCUACCAAGGCGGCGACGGGUAGCCGGCCUGAGAGGGUGGACGGCCACAUUGGGACUGAGGUACGGCCCAGACUCCUACGGGAGGCAGCAGUGGGGAAUAUUACACAAUGGGCGGAAGCCUGAUGCAGCGACGCCGCGUGGGGGAUGACGGCCUUCGGGUUGUAAACUCCUUUCGACCGCGAGGAAGCCACCUGGUUGGAAGGGUGGUGACGGUAGUGGUAGAAGAAGCACCGGCUAACUACGUG